rnacentral:rRNA from 1 species
CAGUGCCACGGGAAUACGAAGGGUGCAAGCGUUACUCGGAAUUACUGGGCGUAAAGCGUGCGUAGGUGGUGGUUUAAGUCCGUUGUGAAAGCCCUGGGCUCAACCUGGGAAUUGCAGUGGAUACUGGGUCACUAGAGUGUGGUAGAGGAUAGUGGAAUUUCCGGUGUAGCAGUGAAAUGCGUAGAGAUCGGAAGGAACAUCUGUGGCGAAGGCGACUAUCUGGGCCAACACUGACACUGAGGCACGAAAGCGUGGGGAGCAAACAGGAUUAGAUACCCGGGUAGUCCCUGUCUCUUAUACA